CCCUUAGAUGUUCUGGGCCGCACGCGCGCUACACUGACGAUGGCAACGAGUUUUUCCUUCGCCGAAAGGUGUGGGUAAUCUUUUGAAACAUCGUCGUGCUGGGGAUAGAUCAUUGCAAUUUUUGAUCUUGAACGAGGAAUUCCUAGUAAGCACGAGUCAUCAGCUCGCGUUGAUUACGUCCCUGCCCUUUGUACACACCGCCCGUCGCUACUACCGAUUGAAUGGUUUAGUGAGGACUCCUGAUUGGCGCCGCCGCCCCGGCAACGGAGCAGCGGACUGCCGAAAAGUUGUUCAAACUUGAUCAUUUAGAGGAAGUAAAAGUCGUAACA
rnacentral:rRNA from 1 species